rfam:Defluviitoga tunisiensis isolate L3 genome assembly, chromosome: I
GUGCCUGUAGCUCAAUUGGAUAGAGCGUUGGACUGCGGAUCCGGAGGUUGCCGGUUCAAAUCCGGCCAGGCACG